rnacentral:lncRNA from 1 species
UAAAAAGCAAAGAGCUUGUAGUCAAACUCAACAUUUACUGAAAAAUAUGUAAUGACAUAGUUCACCUAUCCCAAGUACACUCUUUGUUGUUGUAGCUAUGAAAUCACAUAUAACUACUAACAAAAGAGGCAGAGGGAUAAAAGGGAAUUACACGCCAAUAAGUAGUACCAUGACUUCUAAUAGGAGAACUUCAAGAAACUGCCAUAAACAAAAGGACAAUUAGAAGACAGCAUGACAAACAGGAGAAAAGAAAAACAAGAGAGAAAAAGGGACAAUCUGAAUAUUUGAUUCUAUUAGUUGGUGGCACGAUGAAUUUCUAGUGGUUGUACGAGUAAAGCCAAUAAACAAGUACCCAUUGAUGUUCAAGAAGUUUCAAGAUCGAAGCUUUACAUACAAUAUAAGAUGGGUAUUGAUACAUCCACAAAAUUCAGCCACUGAAGCAAUUGAACAAGCAUUUUAUGUGCAUUAAAAAGUGGUAAAUCGGUGCUAGCAAGGGUACCAUAGAAUGCUAG